rnacentral:rRNA from 1 species
AUUGAACGCUGGCGGCAUGCCUUACACAUGCAAGUCGAACGGCAGCACGGGAGCAAUCCUGGUGGCGAGUGGCGAACGGGUGAGUAAUAUAUCGGAACGUGCCCAGUCGUGGGGGAUAACGUAGCGAAAGCUACGCUAAUACCGCAUACGAUCUAUGGAUGAAAGCGGGGGAUCGCAAGACCUCGCGCGAUUGGAGCGGCCGAUAUCAGAUUAAGUAGUUGGUGAGGUAAAGGCUCACCAAGCCGACGAUCUGUAGCUGGUCUGAGAGGACGACCAGCCACACUGGGACUGAGACAGUGGCCAGACUCCUACGGGAGGCAGCAGUGGGGAGUUUUGGACAAUGGGCGCAAGCAUAAUCCAGCAAUGCCGCGUGCAGGAUGAAGGCCUUCGGGUUGUAAACUGCUUUUGUACGGAACGAAACGGUGAGCUCUAAUACAGUUUGCUAAUGACGGUACCGUAAGAAUAAGCACCGGCUAACUACGUGCCAGCCGCCGCAGUAA